UGCCAGACUCCUACGGGAGGCAGCAGUGGGGAAUAUUGCACAAUGGGGGAAACCCUGAUGCAGCAACGCCGCGUGAGUGAAGAAGUAUUUCGGUAUGUAAAGCUCUAUCAGCAGGGAAGAAAAUGACGGUACCUGAGUAAGAAGCCCCGGCUAACUACGUGCCAGCAGCCGCGGUAAUACGUAGGGGGCAAGCGUUAUCCGGAUUUACUGGGUGUAAAGGGAGCGUAGACGGCGAUACAAGUCUGAAGUGAAAGCCCGGGGCUCAACCCCGGGACUGCUUUGGAAACUGUGUUGCUGGAGUGCUGGAGAGGCAAGCGGAAUUCCUAGUGUAGCGGUGAAAUGCGUAGAUAUUAGGAAGAACACCAGUGGCGAAGGCGGCUUGCUGGACAGUAACUGACGUUGAGGCUCGAAAGCGUGGGGAGCAAACAGGAUUAGAUACCCGAGUAGG
rnacentral:rRNA from 1 species